UCUGGCUCAGGAUGAACGCUAGCGGCAGGCUAACACAUGCAAGUCGAGGGGCGAGCGGGAUGUAGCAAUACAUUGCCGGCGACCGGCGGAUGGGUGCGUAACGCGUAUGCAACCUACCUUAGUACAGGGGAAUAACCUUUCGAAAGGGAGACUAACACCCCAUGGUAUUGAUUUAAGGCAUCUUAGAUUAAUUAAAUAUUUAUAGGUAUAAGAUGGGCAUGCGUAUGAUUAGCUAGUUGGUAAGGUAACGGCUUACCAAGGCGACGAUCAUUAGGGGUUCUGAGAGGAAGGUCCCCCACACUGGUACUGAGACACGGACCAGACUCCUACGGGAGGCAGCAGUGAGGAAUAUUGGUCAAUGGGCGCAAGCCUGAACCAGCCAUGCCGCGUGCAAGGAAGACGGCCUUAUGGGUUGUAAACUGCUUUUACAUAAGACUAACCGUAUAUUUGCGAAUAUACCUGAAUGUAUUAUGAGAAUAAGGAUCGGCUAACUCCGUGCCAGCCGCGGC
rnacentral:rRNA from 1 species